AUGUUAUCAUCAUCACCA
rnacentral:sRNA from 1 species